rnacentral:pre_miRNA from 1 species
AUAGGAAUCACCUGCAGAUCUUGUUAGAAUGCAGAUUCUGAUCCCACAUAUCUGGGUAGGGCAUGAGUUUCUGCAUUUCUAACAAGCUCCCAGGUGACACUGCU